AAAGGUUUACUGCCGGAAGAUCGGCCCGCGUCUGAUUAGCUAGUUGGUGGGGUAACGGCCUACCAAGGCGACGAUCAGUAGCUGGUCUGAGAGGAUGAUCAGCCACACUGGGACUGAGACACGGCCCAGACUCCUACGGGAGGCAGCAGUGGGGAAUAUUGGACAAUGGGCGCAAGCCUGAUCCAGCCAUGCCGCGUGAGUGAUGAAGGCCUUAGGGUUGUAAAGCUCUUUUAUCCGGGACGAUAAUGACGGUACCGGAGGAAUAAGCCCCGGCUAACUUCGUGCCAGCAGCCGCGGUAAUACGAAGGGGGCUAGCGUUGCUCGGAAUCACUGGGCGUAAAGGGCGCGUAGGCGGCGUUUUAAGUCGGGGGUGAAAGCCUGUGGCUCAACCACAGAAUGGCCUUCGAUACUGGGACGCUUGAGUAUGGUAGAGGUUGGUGGAACUGCGAGUGUAGAGGUGAAAUUCGUAGAUAUUCGCAAGAACACCGGUGGCGAAGGCGGCCAACUGGACCAUUACUGAC
rnacentral:rRNA from 1 species